rnacentral:misc_RNA from 1 species
UUCUCUCUCUUCCUCCUAUACCUGUCAAUUAUGAUCCAUGUAUUUGUUAAUGAGACUGACAAUAAGUUUUCUAGCAGUGACCUCAAUGAAGAUGAAUAUAAAGGGAGCAAUAUAGCAGAAGAAUGCAAGGAUCUCUGAGCUGGUAAAUUCACAAUCAGCUGCCAACUCAAAAUGGCAGUUGGAGUACACAGAAUUUGAAGGGCAAGAGAACUUGUAACCAUAAAAAUGCUUUACUCUAUUAAAAUAUUUAGCAGAUGAAGAAACAGACACUGACGAAG